UACAGAGGUCUCAAGCGUUGUUCGGAAUUACUGGGCGUAAAGGGCUCGUAGGUGGCCAACUAAGUCAGACGUGAAAUCCCUCGGCUUAACCGGGGAACUGCGUCUGAUACUGGCGAGCUUGAGUGCAGGAGAGGAACGCGGAAUUCCUGGUGUAGCGGUGAAAUGCGCAGAUAUCAGGAGGAACACCGGUGGCGAAGGCGGGUCUCUGGGCCGAUACUGACGCUGAGGAGCGAAAGCGUGGGGAGCGAACAGG
rnacentral:rRNA from 1 species